GUCAUAUGUGGUGGAAUAUGCAUUGAGUUAAGAAAAAGAAUAAGAGGGCCUAUCCUUAUUAAUAGAAAAACCCCCCACUCUAACGAUUUCCCUAUCUCCCGUUGUAAGGAACUUACUAGGGCGGGUCUAUCAUAGAUGGAUUUCUUUUUUUUUCGCUAUAGAAUACGCCUUCUUCGCCUUGUGAUAUUGAUAGUCUUAUCCCAGGAAAUCACAGCUUUCUUCCACUAUAAAAUCUUCUUUCUCUCCAGGCAAGGCAGGAGUCUUUGAAGUAAGUUUAUUGGUAGGCGAGCUUUAGCCAUUGAUUGAGUCUUUCUUUCAUAGGAUCUUUUUUCUUUCCUUUCGAGUUCAGCAUAUCAAAAACCCAUUGCUACUUUCAUGGAGUAGGAGAAAGCUUACAUGUAGUUCUCAUCCUAAGCCCUUCAAAUUGUAAUUGCUAGGCCAAUGGAUAUUAAGCGAAAAUAGGUUACAGCCGAGCUUCCUUUCCUGAGGA
rnacentral:misc_RNA from 1 species